GAAGUGAUGAUGGAGUGAAUGGUUCUCAGAGUUCCUGGCUGCACAAACACAGCACUGUAUCCUGCUAAUGUUUUAUUUCUCUGAGGAGGCAUCAGAGAAAUAACCUCUGACUGCUUAUGAACACAACUGAUCUGCACACAUGGCAGGGCUUCCUUUGGUCAGCACAGCCAGGGCAGUGAGGGCCAGAGCAGCUCUGAGGCCAGGGACCAGCCAUUGGCAUGGAGGAGGGAGACCCCAUCUUUGUAAUUAACUUGGCAGCUGCAUUCCUAAAAAUAGUGUGCAACAAAUGGGAAGCAACAUUGCUGCCUUCAGGACAGAAGAAAGGAGGCUGAGCAGAAGCAUGUGUGGGCAGGAGGAGCCCUUGGCUUCAUGUACUUCAAUAGUCCUCAUCGAGCUGAUUUCUCACUUAACAGCCUGAGAAGCUAAGAUCAUUUCUAUCAUGUCUGUGAUGGCACUUUCAUUUA